GGCCUGGUGGUGUAGUUGUAGCACAGUCCUUCUCGAUGGGCCGCGCGUCGUCCCCCCGGUUUACCGGAUUAUACCACGGCACUGUUGUUGAGGAAAUGAAUGGGUUCGAAUCCCAUCCAGGUCA